GUUGAGCCUUUUCACCCCGACGUCGGCUCUGGUGGAGGACUGGAUCGUGGUGACCAUGAUCCACACAGGUUGGCAUUCCAGUAUCCUGGGAGACAUCAUCGGGGGAGAGAUGAAUGGCCAGG